rnacentral:rRNA from 1 species
CUUAGAGUUUGAUUCCUGGCUCAGGAUGAACGCUAGCGGGAGGCCUAAUACAUGCAAGUCGAGGGGCAGCAGGUUUUAAUUUCGGUUAAAAUGCUGGCGACCGGCGCACGGGUGAGUAACGCGUACGUAACCUACCUCUAAGUGGGGAAUAGCCCCGGGAAACUGGGAUUAAUGCCCCAUAGUAUUGACUGAGCGCAUGCUUGGUCAAUUAAAGCUCAGGCGCUUAGAGAUGGACGUGCGUCCUAUUAGGUAGUUGGUAGGGUAAUGGCCUACCAAGCCAACGAUAGGUAGGGGGCGUGAGAGCGUGACCCCCCACACGGGUACUGAGACACGGACCCGACUCCUACGGGAGGCAGCAGUAAGGAAUAUUGGACAAUGGGCGCAAGCCUGAUCCAGCCAUCCCGCGUGCAGGAUGAAGGCCCUAUGGGUUGUAAACUGCUUUUAUCUGGGAAGAAAAGCCUUGAUUUAUCAGGGUGUCUGACAUACCAGAGGAAUAAGCACCGGCAA